rnacentral:misc_RNA from 1 species
GAUGAAGAACGUAGCGAAAUGCGAUACGUAAUGUGAAUUGCAGAAUUCCGUGAAUCAUCGAAUCUUUGAACGCACAUUGCGCCCGCCAGUAUUCUGGCGGGCAUGCCUGUUCGAGCGUCAUUACAACCCUCAGGCCCCCGGGCCUGGCGUUGGGGAUCGGCGGAAGCCCCCUGUGGGCACACGCCGUCCCUCAAAUACAGUGGCGGUCCCGCCGCAGCUUCCAUUGCGUAGUAGCUAACACCUCGCAACUGGAGAGCGGCGCGGCCAUGCCGUAAAACACCCAACUUCUGAAUGUUGACCUCGAAUCAGGUAGGAAUACCCGCUGAACUUAAGCAUAUCAAUAAGCGGAGGA